rnacentral:lncRNA from 1 species
UUGAUGCACCUAACUUGGUCAAGAUCACGCGCCUUCCUUUCCCUUGCUUUAGCUAACCGGAAUAACUUCAUGUCCCCGCCUUUCUCCCCUAGUUCCUCGUACAUGCGACCAAACACCGCGUUUUUAGCUUCCGUAACCGCCAGCUUUGCUUCUUUCUUCACCACCUUGUAGAUCUUCCUGUUCGCUCUCCGUUCUUCCUCGCUUGUGCUCACUGCCAACUUAGCAAACGCCGCCUUCUUCACCUCCACCUUCCAUUCGACUACAUCGUUCCACCACC